AUAAAAACUAAAUUAAUUCAAUAAUAAAAAUUAUUUUUCACGCUUAACUAACUCAUAUAUAAUCAUUAUUAAAAAUGGUUUUAUAUUUUUGUUUUGGAAUAUUAGUUUUUCUUGUGUGUUUUAUUCCCAUACCUACGUUUUCAGCUGGGUCGUCAAACACUGAAAUAAAUAAGCCAGAAAAAAUAACUCACGAAGAAUUUAUAAAGUUUGUUUUUGAUCCAGAACUUGAGACAAUCCAAGUGCACAAUGCGAAGAAGUUUCUAAGACUUGUUAAGGGUGUUAACUUUAUUUUAUUAAAAGAGAACGUACAUAUUUAAAUAGCUUAUAAAAUAGAAUAUUAUAAAAUUAAAAGAAUAACUGUCUGAUAAUAAAAUCAAACGAGUAGCGGAAUUGAUGCGCACAUAAUUACAAAUUAUUACUGUAAGCUGCAAUUUAUUCGAACAGUUCCCAAAUAUAAAUUUAUUUUAGAAAUAUCAUCUAAUAA